rnacentral:rRNA from 1 species
AAUCAACGCUGGCGGCGCGCCUAACACAUGCAAGUCGAACGAGAAAGUCCGCAAGGAUGAGUAAAGUGGCGUACGGGUGAGUAACACGUGGAUAACCUGCCCUUCAGUGGGGAAUACCGCUGGGAAACCGGCGACAAUACCGCAUAAGCUCGAGAGAGGAAAGCAGCAAAUGCGCUGAAGGAGGGGUCCGCGGCCGAUUAGCUAGUUGGCAGGGUAAAAGCCUACCAAGGCGUGAUCGGUAGCCGGCCUGAGAGGGCACACGGCCACACUGGCACUGAAACAGGGCCAGACUCCUACGGGAGCAGCAGUGGGGAAUCUUGCACAAUGGGGGAAACCCUAGAUGCAGCGACGCCGCGUGAGCGAUGAAG